rnacentral:rRNA from 1 species
GUCGAGAAUUUUUCACAAUGGGGGAAACCCUGAUGGAGCGACGCCGCGUGGAGGAUGAAGGCCCUCGGGUUGUAAACUCCUGUCAUGCGGGAACAAGAAAGUGAUAGUACCGCAAGAGGAAGAGACGGCUAACUCUGUGCCAGCAGCCGCGGUAAUACAGAGGUCUCAAGCGUUGUUCGGAUUCAUUGGGCGUAAAGGGUGCGUAGGUGGCGAUGCAAGUCUGGUGUGAAAUCUCGGAGCUCAACUCCGAAAUUGCACCGGAUACUGCGUUGCUAGAGGAUUGUAGAGGAGAGUGGAAUUCACGGUGUAGCAGUGAAAUGCGUAGAUAUCGUGAGGAAGACCAGUUGCGAAGGCGACUCUCUGGGCAAUUCCUGACACUGAGGCACGAAGGCCAGGGGAGCAAACGGGAUUAGAAACCCGAGUAGUCC